UUGCCUAUGAUAGUCUUCGUUUCAUAAGCUUGUAACAAUUUUUAAGCCCUCAGUUCCUGUAAGCAAGGCUCUUGAUAAGCCUUUAUUUAUGAAUAACUUAUAUGACCAGUCAGUAAAACAUAUAUAAAAAGAUAAUCUGGUAUGGAAUGAGACUCACAUAAAUUUCUGUAUCUGGUCCACGAUCUGUAUUGGUAAAAUUCACCCCUAAUAAAGCUCUGUCUGGUGCCCUCAUUGCUCAUAAUUGGGAUGAAAUAAAAUAUAGAUGCAGCCCCUGUCAUCGAGACAUGUUAAACAGGUACUCUACAAUGCAUAGAUUAUGGAGAAGAGAGAAAUAAGGAAAUGAAAAACACAUUUAGGGCAGGUUCAGGAUAACUCCUCUAUAGUACAUUAAGACCAGGCUCAAGAAAUAUGCAUAGUUAAAAGAAUAUUAUCACAUAAAAUCUAAGAUAUUUUACCAAAAACAGCUAAGCUUUCACCUGACUACUCAUGAGGGAGUUUCUCACAGUCAGAUUUCAGUAACGUUAUCAGUGAAGGCCAGCGACCAUUAAGAGAGACAUGAAGGAUGGACUAUGUUGUGACAGGCAUGUGGGACUCUAUUAGAAGUUAUUUCAGUGGAAGAACACACUUUUAGAGCCUCUCUGUGCAUUGCUUACUCCUUUCCCUUUCACAGUAUUCUACCUAUGCCUGUAUUCCAGUAUUUUUCAAACUGUCAUAACUGUAUGCUUACAUUUCUAUCUCCUGUGCUAGGAUAAAACUUCUCAAGAUGAGGUUGUUUUCUCAAGCUCAGGUUCUCAAAGUUUCAUUUCCUCUGUAGUUAGUCUCAAAACAACCACAACGUAUUUGGUAUUUAGUACAGUUUUGGAAAAGAAGUUUAUCCCACAAAAUAUCAAAUGAUCUUGAACUAAAAGUCCAGACUAUGUUCUUCCAUGUGACAUCAAGUAAACAGCCUCUAAUGAUUUCUUGCUAAGGGCUAGAAUAUCCAUCAGCAGGUUGCCCUGAAGAAACCACCUUUCCAGCUGCAUUGAGCCAGAACUGCACCAACUUCUCUAACCUGUGAGAGGAGGUUCGUGCCAGCACAUUUUUCAGUAGACUGAACUACAUAAUGGAAAGUGUUUCUCAGGUGAAAGCUGAUAAUAUGGGUGAAUGCCAAAUUGAUGUGGAUGUCAUACUAACAUGAAAUUCUGAAAGUCGUUUUCAGCAUGGAGGAGUUCUAUCUAUUUAUGCUAGAAAUUGCAUAGAUGUAUUUACAUACCGAACGCUGGAUUCUUUUGAUUACUGAAAACAUCUGGUAUUAAAUCCUGACACUGAAAUUGAUUAACUAUGGAAUACUGAGUCAUAAAUAAAGUCUCCAUGAACCUCAUUUUCCUCAUAUGUAAGUUAGAUAUUUUAUGACCUGUCCCAUCAUAGAUAUGAUCCAAAUAUGUCAUUCUUCCCUAUAUGCAAUAUACACAAGUAACCAGUUUUUAGUGAUAGUUCAUUAUCAAGCCAUGGAAAAUGGCAGUAUAGAGUGAAGGAUACUAAAAGUAAUUCUCUAUGGAUGUCUCACAUUUCUGCUCAUUUUGAGAACAAAUACACUGAUGUCCUCUGUUCAGUAUUAA